AUAAAUAGUUCUGUAACAAAACAAUUCGCCAGAGAACUACUAGCAACAGCUUAAAACUCAAAGGACUUGGCGGUGCUUUAUAUCCCUCUAGAGGAGCCUGUUCUAUAAUCGAUAAACCCCGAUAAACCUCACCAUCCCUUGCUAAUACAGUCUAUAUACCGCCAUCUUCAGCAAACCAGAU
rnacentral:rRNA from 1 species